rnacentral:rRNA from 2 species
GGCGUUAAGUUGCAGGGUAUAGACCCGAAACCCGGUGAUCUAGCCAUGGGCAGGUUGAAGGUUGGGUAACACUAACUGGAGGACCGAACCGACUAAUGUUGAAAAAUUAGCGGAUGACCUGUGGCUGGGGGUGAAAGGCCAAUCAAACCGGGAGAUAGCUGGUUCUCCCCGAAAGCUAUUUAGGUAGCGCCUCGUGAACUCAUCUCCGGGGGUAGAGCACUGUUUCGGCUAGGGGGCCAUCCCGGCUUACCAACCCGAUGCAAACUGCGAAUACCGGAGAAUGUUAUCACGGGAGACACACGGCGGGUGCUAACGUCCGUCGUGAAGAGGGAAACAACCCAGACCGCCAGCUAAGGUCCCAAAGUCAUGGUUAAGUGGGAAACGAUGUGGGAAGGCCCAGACAGCCAGGAUGUUGGCUUAGAAGCAGCCAUCAUUUAAAGAAAGCGUAAUAGCUCACUGGUCGAGUCGGCCUGCGCGGAAGAUGUAACGGGGCUAAACCAUGCACCGAAGCUGCGGCAGCGACAUUUAGGUGUUGUUGGGUAGGGGAGCGUUCUGUAAGCCUGUGAAGGUGGCCUGUGAGGGUUGCUGGAGGUAUCAGAAGUGCGAAUGCUGACAUAAGUAACGAUAAAGCGGGUGAAAAGCCCGCUCGCCGGAAGACCAAGGGUUCCUGUCCAACGUUAAUCGGGGCAGGGUGAGUCGACCCCUAAGGCGAGGCCGAAAGGCGUAGUCGAUGGGAAACGGGUUAAUAUUCCCGUACUUGGUGUUACUGCGAAGGGGGGACGGAGAAGGCUAUGUUGGCCGGGCGACGGUUGUCCCGGUUUAAGCGUGUAGGUGUGUGUUCCAGGUAAAUCCGGUUCACUUUAACACUGAGGCGUGAUGACGAGGCACUACGGUGCUGAAGCAACAAAUGCCCUGCUUCCAGGAAAAGCCUCUAAGCAUCAGGUAACAUCAAAUCGUACCCCAAACCGACACAGGUGGUCAGGUAGAGAAUACCAAGGCGCUUGAGAGAACUCGGGUGAAGGAACUAGGCAAAAUGGUGCCGUAACUUCGGGAGAAGGCACGCUGACACGUAGGUGAAGUGAUUUACUCAUGGAGCUGAAGUCAGUCGAAGAUACCAGCUGGCUGCAACUGUUUAUUAAAAACACAGCACUGUGCAAACACGAAAGUGGACGUAUACGGUGUGACGCCUGCCCGGUGCCGGAAGGUUAAUUGAUGGGGUCAGCGCAAGCGAAGCUCCUGAUCGAAGCCCCGGUAAACGGCGGCCGUAACUAUAACGGUCCUAAGGUAGCGAAAUUCCUUGUCGGGUAAGUUCCGACCUGCACGAAUGGCGUAAUGAUGGCCAGGCUGUCUCCACCCGAGACUCAGUGAAAUUGAACUCGCUGUGAAGAUGCAGUGUACCCGCGGCAAGACGGAAAGACCCCGUGAACCUUUACUAUAGCUUGACACUGAACAUUGAGCCUUGAUGUGUAG